AUAUCCCAUGCCCACACUCCUUUCUUUUAUUGUACAAAAAAAAAAUUUCCAAGAAAAGUGGGCGCACAAGGUAGGUAGGGAUUAUCCUUUUCCAAUAAGGAAUUAAAUCAAGAUGGGAUUUGGUUUCUUGUUGAAUUCAAAUCAGAUUUGAAUUCAAACCAACAUCCAUCUAUAUCCAUAUGGGGUGGUGAGAAAAGGGAGCUGACAUCAGAUGUUUUGCAUGAAGAAAUCUCAUGCUAAAAAGGGAA
rnacentral:lncRNA from 1 species